GAAAAGAAAGAGAAAGAAGAAAGAAAGAAAAAGAAAGGAGAAAGAAAGAAAGAAAGAAAGAAAGAAAGAAAGAAAGAAAGAAAGAAAGAAAAGAAAAUCUUUAUGAAAAAAGGAAGAAAAAAAAAGGAACCACUACCUCCUGCCCUGUCACUUACCUGGGCACCAGCCUGCACCAGGAUGUAUCUAAGUCCAAGUAUGAGUCAAAAGCCCAAAAUGGUCUUUGCUUCUCUCUGCUGGAAUCCAGUUGAAGUCAACAAAGAACCUUUUCUUUCUUUUCUUUUCUUUUCUUUUUUCUUUUUCUUUUCUUUUCUUUUCUUUUCUUUUCUUUCUUUCUUUUCUUUUCUUUUCUUUUUAAAGAUUUUAUUCAUUUAUUCUUGAGAGACAUGCAGGGAGCCCCAUGUGGGACUCGAUCCCAGGACCCUGGGAUCACAACUUGAGCCCAAGGCAGACACUCAACCACUGAGCCACCCAGGUGCCCCAAAGAACCAUUUCUUACUCUUUUGUGUGCAAGUAAAAGCUGGAUUGGGUUUGUCCAUCUACUCAUUCAUUCAUUCAUUCAUUCGUUCAUUCAAUAAUGCUUUAAUGGUCCCCUCGGUACCUAUCCUUUGCUCGGCCCUGGCCUGGACACACAGACAUGACCCCUGAAGCUCUAUUCCAUCCAGUAUGGCAAGUCAUCAUUUGAGACAGAAGAGGAAGGCACAGAGUGGGGCACAGGAGGGAGUCACUGCCCCAGUUACAGAGGAGGAGGCUUUGAGCCUCCAGCAGGAUGCACAGGGUGACAACAGGUGUGGCUGGGCCUUUGGGGCAGAGGCAAGAGUACCAGCAAAGGCAGGGGAGGGGCCUCCCCCAGCCCUGCUGCAGCCUUGGGAACUAACAGGAAGGAGCUGGCACCCUAGGGUGGCUGGGGAGCCAUCACCGAGACCCUGUCCACGCGUGCGGCGGUCUGGUGGUGACAUUAUCAGCCCAGGAGGCAAGCCUGGGAGGGAGAAAACUGGGAGUGCGACUCCCUGCUUUCAGCCUCCGCCAUCUGGAUGAGCUUGGCUGGUCUUUCCAGUUCCAAUGGGAGGUGAGGCCUAGUUUUUCUGUCUUGAAACUGGGGAGGGCCACAUCCUCCUUGCCUUUCUCUAGACUAGGGCUGCCGGGGGAAGGAGCAGUCCUCCACAAAGCCAUAGCUCCUACCUCUUGCUGCCAGAGUGGGCCUGCUUUUGGUCCCCAGGCCCAGGACAAUGCAAAGAACACUUAGUAUGGGGACGCCUGGGGGAGCUCAGUGGUUGAGCCUCUGCCUUCAGCCCAGGGCAUGAUCCUGGAGACCUGGGAUCAUGGCAGAUCGAGUCCCACAUCGGGCUCCCUGCAUG
rnacentral:lncRNA from 1 species